GGGGGCGUACCGGCUUCGACGGGGACUCGUCGGGGUCGUGGUUGCAUGCCGAGCUCGAUCAACUCGUAAACCUGAUCGAAAAACACAAACGCGAACACUGAUUUCGCUCUCGCGGCUUAAUUAACCACGAGCGCUCGCCCACCGCCCGCUCACGGCGAUGGGACCGAGCGUCAUGAUGUGAGCUGGUGCCACGCGUAACGCCUACGCGCGCGGCACGAGAUCAAGAGGCUGGUCCGCGUCCGGUUCCCGCUCUCCGGACAAGGCGUGGACGAGAUUAAACGGAGAGAAACGCAUGUAGGAGCCACACCACCACAGUUUUCGGACGCGGGUUCGACUCCCGCCGCCUCCACCA
rnacentral:tmRNA from 1 species